rnacentral:rRNA from 1 species
GAGGUGUGAAAUCCCUGGGCUCAACCUAGGAACUGCAUUUCAAACUGGAUAACUUGAGUAUGUCAGAGGGUAUUGGAAUUUCCCCGUGUAGCAGUGAAAAUGCGUAGAUAUGGGAAGGAACAUCAGUGGCGAAGGCGAAUACCUGGGAUAAUACUGACGCUGAGGUGCGAAAGCGUGGGGAGCAAACGGGAUUAGAUACCCUGGUAG